CUCUUUCUUUCUGCUCUUCGUUUUCAUCGAUUACGGCGGUGAGAUUUAUGCCUUUCAACUCAUCUUUUCUUUGUAUCUAUCAUAUUCCAUACUAAUCGAUUUUGAUAUGGCUAAUUUGGGUUUUUUCUCCUAUUCGAGGGUUUUUUUAUAUACUCGAGGGCGAGUCCGGACAGUUGUCACAAGCCGAUGAUGCUUAGGAAACGAGCAGAAGAAGGUGGAGUGUCGCUGAAGUAUUUACAGGAUCUGCACGAGAAGAAUGAGAGCUUUGAGAGUGGAAACCACGGGGUGCUCUCUGUUAGUAAACCGUCUUUGGAGAUGGAUAACUCUCUCCAUCCUGAUAUCAAGGACCGUGUGUCCUUUACUUGGAAGGGAAUCAUAUGCGUUCUAGCAUCCAGAAGGUUCCUGCUUUGGUUUUGCACUAUGAACCAAAUAUUGACUCCAGCAGAGAUAUUGAAGCAAAGAGACAGCAAGUUCUUUCCAAUGUUAAUGUCAUCAUAACUUGCGUUACUGAUAUGUUUAUGAUUAGUAUUGUUGAAGGUACGCACGGCAAGUUGCUGAGUUUUUUUACUUUGCGAAGAAGAAUCAAGAAACGUCGCAAGAGCAGCCGACAUUGCUGAUGCCUCCUCAUAAUGGAGGUCUCUGGAUUGGACCAGAAGGGAAGCAUGUCCCAUGAUUAGAACUCCCGUCUCAAGAUUACAGGAAGGGCAUGUCGCUCUUAACCAGACCGUCUGCGUGAAACUCUCCCCCACUGUUUUGUUUGCUCUGAAGCAGCAUUGUCAGGGUUAUAUCGAGUGUCAAUAGAGAAAGAUUUGAUGAUGUCUCAGUUUCAUCUUCUUUCUUUAAAGCUUUUCCUCUCUAAAGGUGCUGAAACUUUUCCAUCGGACAAGAACAUUAAGUAAAAAGACUGUCUCAAACAACAUGGAGUGUAAUAAGGAUGAAGCUAAAAGGGCAAUGGACAUUGCUGAGAAGAAAAUUUCAGAGAACGAUUACGUUGGAGCCAAGAAAUCUGUCACCAAGGCUCAAGACCUAUACCCUCACCUUGAUGGUUUGGAUCAAGUGUCUACGAUGAUCCAUGUUUACGUCUCAGCUGCAAACAAAAUCAACGGAUGAAAAUCUGACCUGUAUGGUGUUCUCGUUGUUGAUCCUCUCGCUGAUGAUGAAGCUCUGAAGAAACAGUACAAGAAGCUGGCACUUUUUCUUCAUCCUAAUAAGAACAAUUGUAAAGGCGCGGAAGGUGCAUUUAAGUUGCUUUUGUAUGCUUGGUCUAUGUUAAAUGACAAGGCUAAGAGAAGUGCUUAUGAUAAGAGGAGGAAGUUAAGUACUGGAAUGCAGAAACCACCUUCGCCAAGCCAACACAAUAAGCCUGCAGCUUCUUCUAACGUGAAUCAAAAUGCUAAAGCUACAAGUGAGCCGCAGAGACCACUAACGUAUCAUCCCCAAGCCAUGUUCUUCAUAAUGGAAAGAAAUAUUUAUACAUAUAUAAGUGUGUUUUGUUUCUUGAAAUCUCUUAUGGUCUGGAAUUUCAGUUCUCUA